GACCAAUACAAACAUAAGCUCCUUUUGAUGCCAACAGGCAGAGCAGUUUAAUAAUUAGUCUCCCAACUCAACCCAUUUCAAAUACACAAUGAAGCAAAAAAAGAACUGAAGCUGCUCAAAUUCUCUACUGAAGCAUGGAUUGAAUUGGGACUGGGAAUGAAGGUGAGAAGAGGUUAAAAGAACUGAGAACUACAUAAUGAAUUGCAGAGAGGAGUGUGGUGGAGAAUUAUAGUGUGCCUUGCUUCCAGAGACUAAAUCCCAGUGAAAACUUCUGAGGAGACAUGGCAAAUAGUAGAGGGAGGAAGAAGUCAUAAACAGCUUGCUGGAUGAGGAUGCAUCCAAACCAACCACGAUAUUUUCCAUUUCCAAACUCCUCAUAUUCAUGCACUCCUGGCACAAAUAGAAGUGACUCUGUUGGUGUGUUUGUGAGUGUCUCCCAAUCCAGAUUAACUUGGGGAGUGUUGCUAUCUUAAUAAUAACUACGUCUUCUGAUCCAGAAACAAG
rnacentral:lncRNA from 1 species